rnacentral:rRNA from 1 species
AUUGAACGCUGGCGGCAGGCCUAACACAUGCAAGUCGAACGAGUGGCGGACGGGUGAGUAAUGUCUGGGCAACUGCCCGAUGGAGGGGGAUAACUACUGGAAACGGUAGCUAAUACCGCAUACCAUCGGAUGUUCCCAGAUGGGAUUAGCUAGUAGGUGGGGUAACGGCUCACCUAGUCGACGAUCCAUAGCUGGUCUGAGAGGAUGCACAGCCACACUGGAACUGAGACACGGUCCAGACUCCUACGGGAGGCAGCAGUGGGGAAUAUUGCACAAUGGGCGCAAGCCUGAUGCAGCCAUGCCGCGUGUAUGAAGAAGGCCUUCGGGUGGUAAAGUACUUGCAGCGAGGAGGCGUUACUCGCAGAAGAAGCACCGGCUAACUCCGUGCCAGCAGCCGCGGUAAUAC